rnacentral:rRNA from 1 species
UUUAUUGGAGAGUUUGAUCCUGGCUCAGGAUGAACGCUGGCGGCGUGCCUAAUACAUGCAAGUCGAGCGAAUGGAUUAAGAGCUUGCUCUUAUGAAGUUAGCGGCGGACGGGUGAGUAACACGUGGGUAACCUGCCCAUAAGACUGGGAUAACUCCGGGAAACCGGGGCUAAUACCGGAUAACAUUUUGCACCGCAUGGUGCGAAAUUCAAAGGCGGCUUCGGCUGUCACUUAUGGAUGGACCCGCGUCGCAUUA